UACUCCUACGGGAGGCAGCAGUAAGGAAUAUUGGUCAAUGGACGCAAGUCUGAACCAGCCAUGCCGCGUGUGUGAAGAAGGUCUUCGGAUUGUAAAGCACUUUAAGUUGGGAGGAAGGGCAGUAAGUUAAUACCUUGCUGUUUUGACGUUACCGACAGAAUAAGCACCGGCUAACUCUGUG
rnacentral:rRNA from 1 species